rnacentral:lncRNA from 1 species
UUCUUUUCAAUCAAGAUAGACAUUAUUUAUUGAAAAUUUUCUAAGGACCGGGUGCAGGACAAAGUAAUGCACAUGCAUUGUCUCAGGUACAGAUUAUCAGACCCCCAUUUGACAGAUGAGGAAACUGAGGCCCAGGUUGGUGAAGGAGAUAGCUCAAGGUCUCAUAGCUAGUUUAAACUGGUCAGGAUUCAGCAUCUUAUGUCUACUACGUCUCAAAAAGUGGGACAGACAGAAAGAGACAGAGAUGGGCGAGGGGAUGCAAAGACAGACACGCACGCAGACGAUCACGUGAGCGGCAGACCUGCAUGGAACCGUUUCGAAAGACACUGAGGGUGGGAGGUGGGGCCGUGGAGGGCAGGAACGGGCACCGACCGCUCCGCAGGGUACUCACCUGGUUGCCCUCUGGGAGCCGCAGGAGCACUCGGCCUGCCUUUGCUACCCGCACGAUCCUCCGCAACCUGCUGACCUAGGGUUGAGAGGCCGCCCAAGUAAAAGCUCGCGCAGGCCCCACCCCUCGCGCGCUCCGGCCGGCCUCUUCCCGCUGCCACUCCCCCCACCGCCCCGUCUUUAUGGCCUCUCACCUUCCACACCCACCUGCAGAGAUUCCUAAGCCAGGUUUCUC